GCUUGUCUCAAAGAUUAAGCCAUGCAUGUCUAAGUAUAAGCCUUUAUAUGGUGAGACUGCGAAUGGCUCAUUAAAUCAGAAACUGUUUAUUUGAUAGUGCCUACUACAUGGAUACCUGUAGUAAUUCUAGAGCUAAUACAUGCAUCAAACCCCGACUUCUGGAAGGGGUGUAUUUAUUAGAUGGAAACCAAUGCAGGGCAACCUGGAAUAUGGUGAUUCAUAAUAACUUCGCAAAUCGCAGUAAUACUGCGAUAAAUCAUUCAAGUUUCUGCCCUAUCAUGCUCUCGAUGGUAGUGUAUUGGACUACCAUGGCUCUCACGGGUAACGGGGAAUUAGGGUUCGAUUCCGGAGAAGGAGCCUGAGAAACGGCUACUACAUCUAAGGAAGGCAGC
rnacentral:rRNA from 1 species